rnacentral:misc_RNA from 1 species
UCACCCCUCAAGCUCAGCUUGGUGUUGAGGCCUGCUGUCAAGGCAGCCUCUAAAAACAGUGGCAGUGCUGUCAGGCUCUAAGCGUAGUAAUCUCUCUCGCUACAGACACCUGAUGGACACUCGCCAGAACCCCCCAUCUUUUAAU